CCUACGGGAGGCAGCAGUGAGGAAUAUUGGUCAAUGGUCGGGAGACUGAACCAGCCAAGCCGCGUGAGGGAUGAAGGUACAGAGUAUCGUAAACCUCUUUUGUCAGGGAACAAAGGCGGGGACGUGUCCCCGGAUGAGUGUACCCGAAGAAAAAGCAUCGGCUAACUCCGUGCCAGCAGCCGCGGUAAUACGGAGGAUGCGAGCGUUAUCCGGAUUUAUUGGGUUUAAAGGGUGCGCAGGCGGUCUGUAAAGUCAGCGGUCAAAGCCAGGGGCUCAACCGCGGCCCGCCGUUGAAACUGGCAGUCUUGAGUUGGAGAGAAGUAUGCGGAAUGCGUGGUGUAGCGGUGAAAUGCAUAGAUAUCGCGCAGAACUCCGAUUGCGAAGGCAGCAUGCCGGCUCCACACUGACGCUGAGGCACGAAAGCGUGGGUAUCGAACAGGAUUAGAUACCCUUGUAGUC
rnacentral:rRNA from 1 species